rnacentral:rRNA from 1 species
UACAGAGGGGGCAAGCGUUGUUCGGAUUCAUUGGGCGUAAAGGGUGCGUAGGCGGCGCGGUAAGUCGGGUGUGAAAUCUUGGAGCUUAACUCCGAAACUGCAUUCGAUACUGCCAUGCUUGAGGACUGGAGAGGAGACUGGAAUUUACGGUGUAGCGGUGAAAUGCGUAGAUAUCGUAAGGAAGACCAGUGGCGAAGGCGGGUCUCUGGACAGUUCCUGACGGCUGGAGGCACGAAGGCCAGGGGGGCAAACGGG